GGGACACGGAGAAUGACGGCGAUCUCCCCUGGGCCUGGGACACCAGCUCCCGAAGGGGCGUGAGCCAGGGGAGCCCCCCCACGGCCCUGCCCGGAUCCACCGCCUCUCCUAGCCGCCGCCCCGCCCCCCAUGACCCCCGGGGCCGCCCAGAUCCAGGUGAGGGGCCCGGGGCUGGGGAGGCGGCCAGGCUGCUCACAGCGGGGGGCCCCCGUGGUCCGAGGAUAGCCAUGACCCAGCCCCAGCCCAGCUGGGGACCUAGAUACCUACAAGGACAAACCACAGGGAGCCCUCAGAGCCCCCAGCCCCCGGAGCCCAUCGGGAGGGAGCCUGGAGCACCCCCCCCCAGGAGCACUUCGAGAGGGAGCCGGUCUGAGAUGGCGGGAAAGGAGACAAGGGGCCGAGAGGUUGCGGCUGAAUGAGGGGAUGGGAGAAUCAGGGGCACGAAUGACAAGUGAGGCCCUGGGGGAGGAGGGGAGAGGCCGCGGCCGGUCCGAGGGCCAGAGGGCGGGGGGGAAGGCGCCAGCAGGUCUGAAGGAACGGGCCCAGAGCCCCGAGAGGAGAGGGGGCCCGGAGGAGCCAGCGCCCGUGUCCAAGGCUUGAAGGAGGCCGGAGGAGACGCUGCCGGCCCCGGGGCUCAGUGGGACCCGUCGGGAAGGGCCGGAGGAGGGCGGCGGGCUUGGGCCUGUGGCCGGGCCAUCUGUUCCCCUCCUCGGGCUCCCUCUCGCUGGGAUCCCUGGGGACUCCUGGGGGCCACAAGCCCCGCCGGGCACAGUUGGACACCAGAGGGCGCUCGGGAGCCUUCCUGCAGUCUCCCUCCGAUGAAAGACUCGAGUCUGCCGGGCGACUGCUGGCGUCCCCGGGACCUCUGUCCAAUGGGCCUCCCUGGGAGUGACCCUGCCCCUUUCUGCUUUCUCUCCCCAGAUGUCCGGGGUCGCUCUGCGGCCCCCGAGGAGGCCCCCGGCCCGGAUCUCCAGCUGCCCACGCUCCCCCCAGCACCUCCGACCGCUGAAUCGAGCACACAUUUGACCUCUGAUCUCGGACUGUCUCUGACCACUGACCUCAGUCCGCGGCUGACCCCUGAUUCAGACAAACAGCUGAACUCUGACCCCAGCCCACAGCUAACCACUGACCCUGACCUACAGCUGACCCUUGAGCCCAACCUUCGGCUGAUCUCUGAUGUCAGCCACAGACUGACUUCAGAUGUUGUCCUAGAACUGACCUCUGACCCCGGCUCACAGCUGACCUCUGACUCCUCCCCAAUGUCAGGGGUGACCUCUGUCCCUGACCAAUUAAUUGCUGAUCCGGGCCCAUGGCAGAGCCCGGACUUUAUGCCAGAGCUCACCUCUGACCUCACCCCUAAGGGAGAGCUCACCCCUUCCUCUGCCCCACAGCCAAUACCGGAUGUCGCCCCACAGUUGACAUCUGAUACCAACCAACAACUGACCAUCGAGUCCCUCUCACGACCGACCUCUGACCCUAGCCCACGGCUGACCCCUAACUCUCCCCUAGACCUGACCUCUGACCCUAGCCCACAGCUGACCACUAAAUCUCCCCUCGACCUGACCUCUGACCCUAGCCCACAGCUGACCACUAAAUCUCCCUUAGACCUGACCUCUGACCCUAGCCCACAGUUGACCUCUAACUCUCCCUUAGAUGUGACCUCUGACCCUAGCUCACAGCUGACCCCUAACUCUCCCUUAGACCUGACCUCUGACCCUAGCCCAAAGUCGACCUCUAAAUCUCCCCUAGACCUGACCUCUGACCCUAGCUCACAGCUGACCCCUAACUCUCCCUUAGACCUCUGACCCUAGCCCACAGCUGACCUCUGAAUCUCCCCCUGCCUGACCUCGGCCCUAACCCACGCGCCCCCUCUCCCCUGGACCCGCCUCGCCCUACCCACGUGACCCCUAACUCCCCCUUAGACCUGACCUCUGACCCCAGCCCACAGCUGACCCCUAACUCCCCCUUAGACCUGACCUCUGAUUCUAGCCCACUGUUGACUUCUCCCUCCACCGCACCACGAUUCACUCCUGAUUCUAUCUCCCUCCUGACCUCUGACAUGUCCCUGCAGAUGCCUUCUGACCCCACCUCCACCCCAGUGCUGACCUCUCAGCCCCCGCGGCUGACCCCCGCCUUUAAUCCCACCCAAACUGAGCUGGAGCUUAGCCCAUCCCCAGGCCCGGAGAUGACCACCACCCCCCCCAGCGCCCACGGGCGGACCCUGCCCUUGCCCUCUUGGACAGCAGAAGCUCCAGAGCUCAGCCCCACGUCCCAGCCAGCCAGCGUGGCCCCGGCCAGCUCAGGGACGGCCCCAGGGCCCCAGCCUCCCGGCGGCGCACAGCCUCCCCCAGCCCCCGGCCAGGGUCCCCUCCAAGUCUCCCCGGCCCCUUCGGAGACGGCCAGAGGUCUCGGCCCUGCCCCCGGCUCCAGCCCUGCGCCUCCCCCGACCCCCACUGCCCGGGACUCGAGCCUCAUGGCGGCCGCGGUGCCCACCGUUAACCCCGGUCCCGUCCCCGCCCCGGCCCCGACUCCCAAGCCCGGCCCCGAGCAGCCCCCGGCAGCAGGCCCCACGGCCCCCCGGGACGUGGAGACAGGCCAGUGCGUGGGGGCCGCCCCGGCCGUCCUCCGAGUCAUGGCCUGCGAGCCGCCGGCCCUGCGGGAGCUGGUGGGCGCCGUGAGGGACGUGGGGAAGCAGCUGCGGAUCCUGACCCAGGCCGUGCAGCAGAGCCGCGCCGAGAGGAGGGCCGCGGGCCUGGAGCUGGGCCGGCUGGUGGAGGCCGUCAGGGGCCUGGGGGAUCUGGGCCAGGCCCUGCGAGGGCUGGUGGAGGCGGCCCCCGCCCCUGGGCUCCGGGAGGAGGAGAGGGAGGAAGCCCCGGGGGGGGGACGGCCCGGCGCCCCCCCGGCAC
rnacentral:lncRNA from 1 species